AGAUUAUAAAAUAAGUUCAGCGCAGCACAGUUCAGCAAUGACAAACUGAGCCUAAGGGAGAUACCAGAAAAAAUAAAGAGCCACAACCUACUCCAUUCAGGUCGAUUAUUACAACUUCCUGGAGGCAUGGUCACACGGAAGCUUAUAAGGCAGGCAAUGCGUAUGUUAUUGGACGAUUUGGUACUAAACCCUUGAUCCAUUGUUUCGGUUUCAUUUAUGCGGCAUUGGGCCGAAUCUUUUUCUUAUCAGCUAACAAGAAAAAGCCCAUGGCAUUUUUGAAUGGCUGCAAGGCAGUUAAUUAUUAUUUUGAUCUAAGUACAAACAUAUGCUAUGGUUUCCGACAAAAUUGUGUUACUAAGUCCAUUUGAGGUAUUUGGAGUAAUACAUAAAUUAAUUAUAUUCUUAAAAUUAAAAAAAAGCGUUACCAUGAUCCUACGAUAUGAUUCCAGUAUCCGGCAAUGCUGCUGAAUUCCAGUAUCCGGCAAUGCUGCUGAAAAAACGAUACUACGUAGCAUUCGGCUCAUGGCAACCUUAGCUUAAAUGGCAAGGAAUUCCAUCACCAAACAAAUAGCAAGAGUGCAAGGCGCUGGAUUCUUUUUCGUCCAUUUCAAUGAAAACAAGCUACAGAAACACUAAGAACCAAUCAAGUUGGGCAAGCCAAGGAGUGAGAGUGCAAGCAGCAGAGCGACCGACGAAUCCCCUGGACACCGGAUGCUGGCGGCAGGCAGGCAGGCAGGAAGAAGCCAGCGAGCAACCGAGUUGGGGGGGAGUGAGGAAUCUAUGGCGGG